UACGGGGGGGGCAAGCGUUGUUCGGAAUUACUGGGCGUAAAGGGCCAGUAGGCGGCCAACUAAGUCCGACGUGAAAUCCCAAGGCUUAACCUUGGAACUGCGUCGGAUACUGGAUGGCUUGAAUUCGGGAGAGGGAUGCAGAAUUCCAGGUGUAGCGGUGAAAUGCGUAGAGAUCGGGAGGAACACCGGUGGCGAAGGCGGGUCUCUGGGCAAUUCCUGACGCUGAGGCGCGAAAGCGUGGGGAGCAAACGGG
rnacentral:rRNA from 1 species